UAGAAAAUGGAGUCUCAACACAUAU
rnacentral:piRNA from 1 species